rnacentral:rRNA from 1 species
AUGCUAUCUAUGUUCACUGCCUGCCUUUUUGAACUAGUGUUGACAUUGCAUAGGUCACUGUUGAUUCACUGCCUUCUUUUGCUUGACUUGUUUGACCCAGAAAAAAGCAAGUAUAAUAAUCAGGACCCAAGUCCCAUUGAGUAUUUCAAAGAGACCCAUACGAACAGCAAGACUGGCAGCAUGAGCGAGCCGGCACAUCUAGCCUAUAAUGCGACUGAAAAGAAAAGGGAAACACAAUCAGAAGGUGAGCAACCAGUGUCUGAUUCAAUGAUUGUGGCUGAAGUUCUAAAGGAAGAAAGCACCCAGAGCACCUUCCUUUCCAGCAUGAGUUAUGCAUCAAGAUCCGAGAGAUCUAGGAGCUUUACUUCAUCAGCAUAG